GUUGCAUCCUUGGAAGCAUCGAUGGACCUCUUUGCACUUUCCCAAAGCUCGAUACAUGUCGGACAGGAUGAGUAGAACUAAAGUGUAGUAUUUUGUUAUCCUUUGUUUUCGUACCCUUUGAAUAGAAUGUGCACGAGUGUUAUAACUCGGGCAUUGAUGUUCAGGCUUUUGCCAUACAGGAAGACCAUCGUUCCCAAUCAAGCAACA
rnacentral:misc_RNA from 1 species